GGAGGCGUGGUGUAGUCGGUUUAACAUACUGCCCUGUCAAGGCAGAGACCGCGGGUUCGAGUCCCGUCGCCUCCGCCA
rnacentral:tRNA from 1 species